rnacentral:rRNA from 1 species
UACGAAGGGGGCUAGCGUUGUUCGGAAUUACUGGGCGUAAAGCGCACGUAGGCGGAUCGAUCAGUCAGGGGUGAAAUCCCAGGGCUCAACCCUGGAACUGCCUUUGAUACUGUCGAUCUGGAGUAUGGAAGAGGUGAGUGGAAUUCCGAGUGUAGAGGUGAAAUUCGUAGAUAUUCGGAGGAACACCAGUGGCGAAGGCGGCUCACUGGUUCAUUACUGACGCUGAGGUGCGAAAGCGUGGGGAGCAAACAGG